rnacentral:rRNA from 1 species
UACGGAGGGUGCAAGCGUUAUCCGGAUUCACUGGGUUUAAAGGGUGCGUAGGUGGGCAGGUAAGUCCGUGGUGAAAUCCUAUAGCUUAACUAUAGAACUGCCAUGGAUACUAUUUGUCUUGAAUGUCGUAGAGGUAAGCGGAAUAUGUCAUGUAGCGGUGAAAUGCUUAGAUAUGACAUAGAACACCAAUUGCGAAGGCAGCUUACUAUGCGAUGAUUGACACUGAGGCACGAAAGCGUGGGUAGCAAACAGG